AUUUUUUCUAUUUCUCUCUUGCAUCUCUCCCAAUCUCCAUUCUCUUCUCUCCUUUCCUUUUCCUCUGCGAACAGCCCCCAAAGCCCUAGCCAACGCCCCUGUCUCUCUGCCAUUUCAGCGGUUUCCAUACUCUCCUUCGCCGCAUACUUUUGCGAUUUCUCCACCUACACAAGGCGACUGAGAACCGGUUCUUACCGGGCCAUGAUCCGACCGCGGUCUUAGCAUUCUCUCACUCAGAGUCCGACUCCUGCUCUGAAGCCGGCAAGCGACGGUCCUCUGGCAAAGACUCCCGCCUUUGGUAGCGAUGGUUGUUCAUUUGGUUCUUGCUGCCCCAUUUCAACAGCGAGAGAGAGAGAAGUUGUGCAGAGGCUGAGAUUUAACCGGCGCAGUCGCCAUAAUACUCCAACAACCAGUUCUUGUCCUUCUCCCUCCUUAAACCACCAUUAAAAAAACAUCCAUUUUUUGAGAAAAAAAAAAACAAGAUAUUUCCAGAGAAAUAGGAACAGUAACCCCUCCUAGAUUCAAAACAAAAGGAAGGAAAAAAACCUAAACUACCGAGGAGAGGGAGAUUGAAGAGCGAGGAGGAGAGGAGAGAGAGGUGGCGGCUUGAAGAAGAGUUGUUUUAGAAGAAGAGAGAGUGGCAUUGUGUUAUGUAUAUAUUAUUCUCUCUCUCUCUCUCUCUCUCUCUCUCUCUCUCGUGCGAAGACGCCUAUCUGCAACCUUAGAUCCCCGAAAAAAAAAACAAGAUCCCUUAGCAACUCUCCAUUUGUUUUUUUUCUGCUAUUUCUUUGAGGCUCACCCUCUCUAAAAGAUUCAACCGAAGGCCCAACUUUCUUUCUCUAUCUUUGUCUCUUUGCAAUUUCUGAAAUGGUGAAGUUGGAAUUCGGGUUCUGAACACCAAAAGGGUGUCACUAUGCCUCUCUGAGUCCUCUUUCUUUAGUGCCGGACUCCCUAUUUAUAGGGAGUCUGGGGGUCCUAAUUGGCGCCAAAAGCUCGAACAGAGUUCCCCUCUAACCAAUCCUGGCAGAGAAUAUUUUUUCUCUCAUGUGAUUUGUUUUUAUUUUCUUUUAUUUUUGAAUUUUUGUUGCUAACUAACUCUCCCUAUUUCCCUUUUGUGCGUAGGUGAGUGGAAGAUGCUUCCAACUAGCACCUGAGGAUUGGAGGGGAUUUUUUAUUACUUUCUAUUUUAUUUUAUUUUAUUUUUUAUUUUGGAUGUAUUUGCUGUACAAGAUGUACCACGGUCCCUUCAGCACUACAACUAUUCAUUAUAACAUUCCUGUAUCUUUGGUUUUUAUCUUUUUUAACUUUUGAAGAACUUUUAUA